GAUGAACGCUGGCGGCGUGCCUAAUACAUGCAAGUCGAGCGAACAGACGAGGAGCUUGCUCCUCUGACGUUAGCGGCGGACGGGUGAGUAACACGUGGAUAACCUACCUAUAAGACUGGGAUAACUUCGGGAAACCGGAGCUAAUACCGGAUAAUAUAUUGAACCGCAUGGUGCAAUAGUGAAAGACGGUUUUGCGGUCACUUAUAGAUGGAUCCGCGCCGCAUUAGCUAGUUGGUAAGGUAACGGCUUACCAAGGCAACGAUGCGUAGCCGACCUGAGAGGGUGAUCGGCCACACCGGAACUGAGACACGGUCCAGACUCCUACGGGAGGCAGCAGUAGGGAAUCUUCCGCAAUGGGCGAAAGCUUGACGGAGCAACGCCGCGUGAGUGAUGAAGGUCUUCGGAUCGUAAAACUCUGUUAUUAGGGAAGAACAAAUGUGUAAGUAACUAUGCACGUCUUGACAGUACCUAAUCAGAAAGCCACGGCUAACUACGUG
rnacentral:rRNA from 1 species